AUUUAUUUUAUUUUUUUGUUAUCUCAACAUAAUUGGUAAUAGUAUUAAUCUCUCCAAAGUUGAUAAUUUUAUAUCCUAAUUAAUAAGGAUGAUUUUAGAUUUUUUACAAUAUAUAUGAGGAUAUAUAUGAAAUUUUAUUAAGUGUAAAAUUAAUUUUCAAAAUAAGAUUUUGAAAACCUACUCAUUCCUUACUUGUUAAAAUUUGAUGUAAAAUGGAGUAAUUUUGCGAGAAAAGUGAUUUCUAAAAAAGAGCAUGAGCAACCCUAUUAACCUAAGAAAUGUAGAGAAUGUCUCCUAAAAUGCCUUUAAAUUAUACAUAUUGACAGAGGACCAUUUCAACAAUGAGAGGACCUCCAACAAAAUUAUUACAUCUCAAUAUGAUAUCAAGCUCGCAGGGGUCUCUCAAAUAUCUUACCAACAGUUACAUGCACUAUGAGUGAGAGAGGGAACUACGUCAACUGAAAUAUGAGCCACUAACAAACGUAUCAACUACUUUAAAAAAGCAAUUAACUCAUUUGAAAUGAGCCAAUUAAGAAUUGAUACAUACUAUCAUUAAGGACAAGCUCUGAACUAACAUGUGUCCAGCUUUAAAUAGGCUAAAGAAUUAAAUUUGAAUUGCCAAAUUACCCACAAGCCUCAACUUGACAAGGCCAACCACAUAUUACAGCAUAUAAUGUGCCAAAAAAGACACCAAGACUGCUUCCUUUAUAAUAUUAGGUCAAAUUCACCAAAAUAGGUUUAGCUUCUUUCCUACAACUCUCAAUUUUUUUAUUGAUUCUAAAGUUUCUUAAAAAACUCAUCACUCUCUCUAAUACCUACUUGAUUUGAUCGUCAGAGUGCCGUCGUUGGACACUAUUGACUAGGAUUAAUCUUCUCUUUGGCAACUUAUGUUAUGUUCACUUGCUAAAGUGGGAGUGAGAAGUGUAGAUUCCUCUCACUCUGUUAUUUACAUACUCAUUUAAAGAGGGGAGUAGGAGUCUCACUUCGUAGGUCCAGCUCAUUUUUUGAAUGAGAUGUGAGAUCUUUUCAUUUUCUCCCUUCUCUUAUUAUCUUUAUUAGGGAAAUUAUCUCUGCACCACCUUUCUUUUGUUAUAUGUACAUCUAACCAUCACAAAAUUUUAACAUGUACUUUGCACUACCUUUAUUUUUAAACUUGUAUCAAUUAACCAACCACUUUGACACCAAAAAUAAUCAUUUUACCCAUAAAUGAAUUAAAAGACUAUUUUAUUCUACAAAAUUUUGAAAAAUAAGAAAACUAUAAGAAUACCCCUAAAUCCAAUAAAAUAAAAUAAAAAAGUCAAAACCUAAGAUGAUAAAUUUUAAAU
rnacentral:lncRNA from 1 species